CAAGUAACCAAAGAUGAAAAGGAUUUUAAACCUAUUAGUCCUUUGAAAACUAUGGUGAGCUAGUCUUAUUUCUGAGUCUUAGAGUAACACACUUUUCUGUAGUGUAGUGAUUAUGGACAGUUUCUGGAGUUACUCUGAACUGAAAAUCACUCAGCUACAUUCUAGCUGUGUGAUCAUAUAUAUGAUCCUUAAACUUAUCUAUGGCCAUUUUGUAAAAUGUGAUAAUAUUAGCAGCUGCCACAUGGUGUUGUCAUAGGGGUUAAAUGUAUUUAUGCACAUAAAGCAUGCAGAGAAUGAAUGCUCAAUACCCAGUCACUGUUGUUUCACGAACUCAUUAUUAUUAUUUGCCCAUUUCUACCUAGAUCCUAUCUGUUCUAAGUCCUCAUUAGCUCGGCCACCUUCUCAGGCUGAUGUCUUACCCUUGGAGGAAUGCAUUUCAAAGGCCACAGAAUUUACAGGACCAGAGGUACAGCUCCAGAAACAGUCCAAAGCUCAGAAAUACUUUUACCACUCCAAAAACUUCCCCAGUUUAUCGUGAGAAGUUUGUAAGUAUUGAGGAAAAAAAUUGUUUUCUGGCCUGAAGGGAGCAAACUCAUCCUAGGAGGAAUUUCUCCUCCUAUGCCUUUGAGAUGAAAAUAUUUCUAUCCAGCUUUCUCAAAGAAACCUUACCUCUGCCAUCUUUUUUUUUUAAUUACUCAAUGAAUUUAUUACAUUUAUUUGUGAUUAUCAUUGACCUCUCCCAUCUUUUCAAAAUGCAAAUUUGAGGAAGGGAGUUAGGCAAUUUGGAACCUGACUUGUCCAAACAAAUAGAAAUCUUAAGUGUCUUUUGAUAAAUAUUAGUAAAAAUGUGUUUGACCAUCUUAACGGGUGACUUUUUUGUUCCAUAUGCCAGAAAUCCAAUUUGAAUUCAAUCUCUUUUGUAAUUGAGGGGUUUUAUAUUGUUGUAUCUGAUUGAUGGCUGAAAUUUUGAAAUGGGAACUAUGACGUCUCUGUGUUUGUACAUAUCUAUAUAUGUACUGUAGAUAUGUAGUAUUAUCCAAAUUAAUUUGUAAAGGAACUCUAUUUAAUUCACUUAAAGGAAAUUAAAUACUUACCCAAAUAGUCAGAAAUAGAAGAAACUAACCAGAAGGAACUCUGAGUUCACAAGAUCUGGGAAAUAUUCAGUACUAAAUAAAUACUUGCUUUUUUAAUGUUAGCUUAGCUUGUCGGUUUAAUACAGACAUAUCUUUAACACCUUCAAGUAUUAAGUAUAAUACUUUUAUUGUACCUAGGUUUACUAGAAAUCAUAUGAGACCUUGUUAUUCCUGUUACAAAGUUUGUCGGCAAGAAAAAUAAUGAUAUGACAAGACUUUGAAGUCAAUAAAAUAGAGGUAAACUCUUUAGGAAUAAUUGUGUUUUGAGAAUGUCUGCUUUAAGGAUAGUAUCUCCAGAUUUUGGUAAAUUGAAACUAAGUUAAAUGACAAUAAUUCAUUCAUUAUUUGGGUCAUUUCAACUAACAUAAAAUAGUGGAACAUUAAUUACUGCAUACUCUAGGUUUUCCUACUUUUGUCUUCUUUUGCAAACCUGAAGAUCUUUGGGUUUAUUAAAUAUAUGCUUACCCCACAUUGAGGAAAGAAAUUCUAUGAGAAGGUAUAUGUUUCUAGAAGUUAUAAAAUACAAAAAUACAUUCAUAAGUGCCAACCAAUCAAGGAAUGCUGGUAUGACAGUUUACAAUAACUUGCUUCUUGGUUUUCACUAGAGAUUCAGGUUCUAAGGUUAAGAAUUGUAAGGAAACAUUUCAAUAUGCAAGGAAAUAUGAUGUGUGUUUUCAACAAAGAAGGUAUGAGAAUUGGAAAUGCAUUUUGUUAAAAAAAAAAAGAUUAUUUUAUCCUAGAACUGACUGUUUCUGAGUAGAAGACAAAGCAAGGGACAGAUUAAUAAGGAUACAGAAAGUUGUGAAAGGUCUGUGGAGGAGGAAUAAUAGAGUACGGUGCAUGUUCAGGACUGGCUGAGGUAAGACUGAAUUUAAUUAAGAACGUG
rnacentral:lncRNA from 9 species